ACUGCUGUGUGUGCACUUUGGAUGGGUUAAAUGCAGAGAACAAAUUCUAAAGACUCCAGUCUGUUUUACUGACACAUCAAACAACAAAAGUAAUCAGUAAGUAAAUCUUUAUUAUAUUUAUGUUCAAAGUCAUCAUCAUGUUGUAUUUGUGCUUCUGUGGUUUAAGUCUGCCAUCUUUUUAAUCUCGAUUUCUUUAUCUCAUCUUCAUAAUCUCUAUCCAACAGCCCUACAGGGGACAUUUUUAUCCACAUGAAUCAAUUCAUAUGUACAGGUUUUAUAAUCAUA